rnacentral:rRNA from 1 species
GACAGAGGGGGCAAGCGUUGCUCGGAAUCACUGGGCGUAAAGGGCGCGUAGGCGGGAUGGCAAGUCAGUCGUGAAAUCUCUCGGCUCAACCGAGAAACGUCGGCUGAUACUGCCGUUCUUGAGGGAUGCAGAGGAGACUGGAAUUCCCGGUGUAGCGGUGAAAUGUGUAGAGAUCGGGAGGAACAUCAGUGGCGAAGGCGGCCAUCUGGGACAACACUGACGCUGAAGCACGAAAGCGUGGGGAGCAAACAGG